UACGAAGGGGGCUAGCGUUGCUCGGAAUUACUGGGCGUAAAGGGCGCGUAGGCGGACAGUUUAGUCAGAGGUGAAAGCCCAGGGCUCAACCUUGGAAUUGCCUUUGAUACUGACUGUCUUGAGUUCGGGAGAGGUGAGUGGAAUGCCGAGUGUAGAGGUGAAAUGCGCAGAUAUCGGGAGGAACACCUAUGGCGAAGGCAGCUCGCUGGGACGUUACUGACGCUGAGGAGCGAAAGCGUGGGGAGCGAACAGG
rnacentral:rRNA from 1 species